rnacentral:rRNA from 1 species
UACGAAGGGGGCUAGCGUUGCUCGGAAUCACUGGGCGUAAAGGGUGCGUAGGCGGGUCUUUAAGUCAGGGGUGAAAUCCCGCGGCUCAACCGUGGAACUGCCUCAGAUACUGACGGCCUCGAGGGAGGUAGGGGCGAGCGGAACUGUGAGUGGAGCGGUGAAAUGCGUUGAUAUUCACAGGAACUCCGGUGGCGAAGGCGGCUCGCUGGAUCUCUUCUGACGCUGAGGCGCGAAAGCUAGGGGAGCAAACGGG